rnacentral:rRNA from 1 species
AGCAGCCGCGGUAAUUCCAGCUCCAAUAGCGUAUAUUAAAGUCGUUGCAGUUAAAAAGCUCGUAGUUGAAUUUCAGGCCUGGCUGGACGGUCCGCCCUUCGGGUGAGUACUGUCUGUGGUCGGGUCCUACCUUCUGGCGAAGCGUCAUGGCCUUAACCGGCCGUGGCGGGGAACCAGGACUUUUACUGUGAAAAAUUAGAGUGUUCAAAGCAGGCAAUCGCUUGGAUACAUUAGCAUGGAAUAAUGGAAUAGGACAAUGGUUCUAUUUGUUGGUUUCUAGGACCGUUGUAAUGAUUAAUAGGGAUAGUUGGGGGCAUUAGUAUUCAAUUGUCAGAGGUGAAAUUCUUGGAUUUAUUGAAGACUAACUACUGCGAAAGCAUUUGCCAAGGAUGUUUUCAUUAAUCAAGAACGAAAGUUAGGGGAUCGAAGACGAUCAGAUACCGUCGUAGUCUUAACCAUAAACUA